GAGAAGCACAACAAAAAAGGAAUCUCUCCAACACACAUUCCCAUAUGAAGAUUCUAGCUAAAAAAAAUCGAAGUAAGACAUUUGAAAAUUGCUUCUAUGAAGAAGCCCCACUUCUACCCUGAAGAUGGACAGGUCACCUUGAAGAGGAAUCUCCUCCUGGUCCAGACAUUUUAUCCUGAAGAAGUGGUGUCUCUCUGGAAUUGGA